rnacentral:misc_RNA from 1 species
ACAACAUCCGAAAGCAUUGAGGUUAGUGCUAAAGCUUCUAAUGGCCAUUACCUGAUUAUGGUCCCUCUGAAGUGAGGUCCUGGGAAGGAGAAUUUGGAGACUUUAGCAGUUUUGCAUGAAGUUACUGGUUUCAUUGGUCAAACUUGCGUUGUUAUGGUUGCAAGCAUCUCAUUUACCAUGUCACCAAACACUCCCAUCUGAGGGUUUCUAGAUAUGCACAUUUAAAGACUAAAUGUGAGCUUUCAAGUGUACAGCAUUGGUCACAUACCUCCAUCUUAGAAACAUAUAUGAUGUAGAACAAAUAAAAAAGAA